AGUGAACGCUGGCGGUAGGCCUAACACAUGCAAGUCGAACGGCAGCACAGUAAGAGCUUGCUCUUACGGGUGGCGAGUGGCGGACGGGUGAGGAAUACAUCGGAAUCUACUUUUUCGUGGGGGAUAACGUAGGGAAACUUACGCUAAUACCGCAUACGACCUACGGGUGAAAGCAGGGGAUCUUCGUACCUUGCGCGAUUGAAUGAGCCGAUGUCGGAUUAGCUAGUUGGCGGGGUAAAGGCCCACCAAGGCGACGAUCCGUAGCUGGUCUGAGAGGAUGAUCGGCCACACUGGAACUGAGACACGGUCCAGACUCCUACGGGAGGCAGCAGUGGGGAAUAUUGGACAAUGGGCGCAAGCCUGAUCCAGCCAUACCGCGUGGGUGAAGAAGGCCUUCGGGUUGUAAAGCCCUUUUGUUGGGAAAGAAAAGCAGCAGGUUAAUACCCCGCUGUUCUGACGGUACCCAAAGAAUAAGCACCGGCUAACUUCGUG
rnacentral:rRNA from 1 species